GACGAACGCUGGCGGCGUGCUUAACACAUGCAAGUCGAACGGAAAGGCCCUGCUUGCAGGGUACUCGAGUGGCGAACGGGUGAGUAACACGUGGGUGAUCUGCCCUGCACUUCGGGAGAAGCCUGGGAAAGUGGGCCGAAUACCGGCUAGGAGCCAUUUUGAGUGUGAUGGUUGGAAAGUGUCAUCGGUGUAGGAUGAGCUCGUGGCCUAUCAGCUUGCUGGUGGGGCAAUGGCCUACCAAGGCGGCGGCGGGUAGCCGGCCUGAGGGGGUGGACGGCCACCCUGGCACUUACGUACGGCCCAGACACCUACGCGACCGAGCAGUGGGGAAUCUUGCCCGAUGGGCGCCAGCCUGAUGCAGCGACUCCGCGUGGGGGAUGACUGCCUUCGUGUUGUAAACCCCUUUCGCAAGUGACGAAGCUCUUUGUGACGGUACCUAGAUAAGAAGCCCCGGCUAACUACGUG
rnacentral:rRNA from 1 species